rnacentral:rRNA from 1 species
GAGAAGAUGGUAAGGGCAAACGGUGGAUGCCUUGGCACAGGAAGCCGACGAAGGACGUGACAAGCUGCGAUAAGCCGCGGUUAGGGGCACUUGCCCGCUCGACCCGCGGAUCUCCGAAUGGGCGAACCCGACGGGAGUCAUUUCCCGUCACCGCCGGCCGAACACAUAGGCCGGUGGGAGGCAACCGGGGGAACUGAAACAUCUAAGUACCCCGAGGAAGAGAAAUCAAUCGAGAUUCCCCUAGUAGUGGCGAGCGAACGGGGACCUAGGACAAACCGGCGGCCGCGCAAGCGCCGCCGGGGUUGUAGGGCCAAGCACUGCGCAGUUACAAAACCUCGUGGAAGCGGAACGGCAUGGGAAGGCCGGCGGGACAGGGUUAGAGCCCCGUACGCGAAUCCGCGAGGACUGCCGCUUGGUUCCUGAGUACCGCCGGACACGUGAAACCCGGUGGGAAGCUGGGGGGUCCACCCUCCAAUCCUAAAUACUCUCCUGUGACCGAUAGUGGACCAGUACCGUGAGGGAAAGGUGAAAAGCACCCCGGGAGGGGAGUGAAAUAGUACCUGAAACCGUUUGCCUACAAGCAGUCGGAGCAGCGCUUGCGCUGUGACGGCGUGCCUUUUGUAGAAUGAGCCAGCGAGUUACGGCGCGUGGCGAGGUUAAGCCACGAAGCGAGCCGCAGCGAAAGCGAGUCCGAAACGGGCGAGCAGUCGCGCGCCGUAGACGCGAAGCCGGGUGAGCUAUCCAUGGGCAGGCUGAAGCGGGGGUAAGACCCCGUGGAGGGCCGAACCCACCUAGGUUGAAAACUGGGGGGAUGACCUGUGGAUAGGAGUGAAAGGCCUAUCAAACCCGGAGAUAUCUCGUUCUCCCCGAAAUAGCUUUAGGGCUAGCCUCGGACGUUUACCUGCGGGGGUAGAGCACUGAAUGGACGCGGGGGCCUCACCGCCUACCAACUCCAAUCAAACUCCGAAUACCGCCGGUCCAGAGUCCGGGAGUCAGAACAUGUGGGCUAAGCUGUGUGUUCGAAAGGGAAACAGCCCAGACCGCCCGCUAAGGUCCCGAAGUCCGUGCUAAGUGGCAAAGGAUGUGCGUUUGCCUAGACAACCAGGAUGUUGGCUUAGAAGCAGCCAUUCAUUUAAAGAGUGCGUAAUAGCUCACUGGUCGAGUGGACAUGCGCCGACAAUAUACGGGGCUAAGCACGGCACCGAAGCGGCGGACUAGAUUUCAUCUAGUGGUAGGGGAGCUUUCCGUCUGGGGCGAAGCCGCGGGACGACCCGCGGUGGACCGGCCGGAAGUGAGAAUGCUGGCAUGAGUAACGAGAGCGGCGUGGGAAACGCCGCCGCCGUAAACCCAAGGUUUCCUGGGCGAGGCUAAUCCUCCCAGGGUCAGUCGGGAGCUAAGGCGAGGCCGGAAGGCGUAGCCGAUGCACAGCAGGUCGACAUUCCUGCACCCCCGAACGGGCGCUAUCACCGAUGGGGCGACGGAGAAGGGUAGCUGGACGGGGUUCUGGACGUCCCCGCGAUGGCACGUAGGCUGAGGGGUAGUGAAACGCGCCCCUCGCGACGGCUGAGGUGCCGGACGAAGCGACUGAGCGAAGCCAGUGAGCCCAUGCUUCCAAGAAAACCCCCUAGGGAGCCCGCAGGGGCCCGUACCGCAAACCGACACAGGUGGGUGGGUAGAGCAUACCAAGGCGAUCGGGAGAACCAUGGUUAAGGAACUCGGCAAAAUUGCCCCGUAACUUCGGGAGAAGGGGUGCCGCCUCGGGUGGAGGGACUUGCUCCCCGAGCCCAGGGCGGCCACAGUAAAUAGGCCCAAGCGACUGUUUAUCAAAAACACAGGACUCUGCUGAAGUCGUAAGACGACGUAUAGGGUCUGACGCCUGCCCGGUGCCGGAAGGUCACGAGGAGCCGUCAGCGCGAGCGAAGCGGCGAAUCCAAGCCCCGGUAAACGGCGGCCGUAACUAUAACGGUCCUAAGGUAGCGAAAUUCCUUGUCGGGUAAGUUCCGACCUGCACGAAAGGCGUAACGAUUUGGGCGCUGUCUCAACCAUGGACCCGGUGAAAUUGCACUAGUCGUGAAGAUGCGACUUACCCGCGGAAGGACGGAAAGACCCCGUGAACCUUUACUGCAGCUUGACAUUGGCUGCCGGUUCGUCGUGUAGAGGAUAGGUGGGAGACGCUGAACCAGGGACGCCAGUCUCUGGGGAGUCGCCCUUGGAAUACCACCCUCGACGUUCUGGCAUCCUAACCCGCGACCGUCACCCGGCGUGGGGACCGUGUCAGGUGGGUAGUUUGACUGGGGCGGUCGCCUCCUAAAGAGUAACGGAGGCGCACGUAAGGUCUGCUCAGGACGGUCGGCAACCGUCCCUUUGAGUGCAAGAGCAUAAGCAGGCUUGACUGCGAGACGGACAGGUCGAGCAGAUGGGAAACCAGGUUCUAGUGAUCCGGCGGCUCAGCGUGGUAUGGCCGUCGCUCAACGGAUAAAAGGUACUCCGGGGAUAACAGGCUGAUCUUCCCCAAGAGUCCACAUCGACGGGAAGGUUUGGCACCUCGAUGUCGGCUCAUCGCAUCCUGGGGCUGGAGCAGGUCCCAAGGGUAUGGCUGUUCGCCAUUUAAAGCGGUACGCGAGCUGGGUUCAGAACGUCGUGAGACAGUUCGGUCCCUAUCCUCCGUGGGCGUAGGAGAACUGAGGGAGGCUGCCCCUAGUACGAGAGGACCGGGGUGGACGGACCUCCGGUGUACGGGUUGUCGACCAACGGCACUGCCCGGUAGCUGAGUCCGGUUCGGAUAACCGCUGAAAGCAUCUAAGCGGGAAGCCAGUCCCGAGAUGAGUUCUCCCUUCGGUAAGGCCACUCGUAGACUACGAGUUCGAUAGGCCGCAGAUGUAAGCCCCGCGAGGGGUUGAGUCGAGCGGUACUAAUCGGCCGAGCUCUUCUCUUCAUUCCA